AUUGAACGCUGGCGGCAUGCUUUACACAUGCAAGUCGAACGGCAACGAGGAGAAGCUUGCUUCUCUGUCGGCGAGUGGCGAACGGGUGAGUAUAGCAUCGGAACGUGCCAAGUAGUGGGGGAUAACCAAACGAAAGUUUGGCUAAUACCGCGUAAGCUCUAAGGAGGAAAGUAGGGGACCUAAUAAGGCCUUACGCUAUUUGAUCGGCCGAUGUCGGAUUAGCUAGUUGGUGGGGUAAUGGCUCACCAAGGCAAUGAUCCGUAGCGGGUCUGAGAGGACGAUCCGCCACACUGGGACUGGGACACGGCCCAGACUCCUACGGGAGGCAGCAGUGGGGAAUUUUGGACAAUGGGGGAAACCCUGAUCCAGCCAUGCCGCGUGUAUGAAGAAGGCCUUAGGGUUGUAAAGUACUUUUGUUAGGGAAGAAAAGCUAGUUUUUAAUAAAAAUUAGUGAUGACGGUACCUAAAGAAUAAGCACCGGCUAACUACGUG
rnacentral:rRNA from 1 species